rnacentral:rRNA from 1 species
AUACGGAGGGUCCAAGCGUUAUCCGGAUUUAUUGGGUUUAAAGGGUGCGCAGGCGGAAUGAUAAGUUAGUGGUGAAAUCCCGAGGCUCAACUUCGGAACUGCCAUUAAUACUGUCAUUCUUGAAUUCGGUUGAAGUGGGCGGAAUGUAGCAUGUAGCGGUGAAAUGCAUAGAGAUGCUACAGAGCACCGAUCGCGAAGGCAGCUCACUAAGCCGAAAUUGACGCUCAGGCACGAAAGCGUGGGGAGCGAACAGGAUUAGAUACCCCCGGUAGUCC